GACGAACUCUGGCGGCGUGCUUAACACAUGCAAGUCGAACGGAAAGGCCCUGCUUUUGUGGGGUGCUCGAGUGGCGAACGGGUGAGUAACACGUGAGUAACCUGCCCUUGACUUUGGGAUAACUUCAGGAAACUGGGGCUAAUACCGGAUAGGAGCUCUUGCUGCAUGGUGGGGGUUGGAAAGUUUCGGCGGUUGGGGAUGGACUCGCGGCUUAUCAGCUUGUUGGUGGGGUAGUGGCUUACCAAGGCUUUGACGGGUAGCCGGCCUGAGAGGGUGACCGGCCACAUUGGGACUGAGAUACGGCCCAGACUCCUACGGGAGGCAGCAGUGGGGAAUAUUGCACAAUGGGCGGAAGCCUGAUGCAGCAACGCCGCGUGCGGGAUGACGGCCUUCGGGUUGUAAACCGCUUUCGCCUGUGACGAAGCGUGAGUGACGGUAAUGGGUAAAGAAGCACCGGCUAACUACGUGCCAGCAGCCGCGGUGAUACGUAGGGUGCGAGCGUUGUCCGGAUUUAUUGGGCGUAAAGGGCUCGUAGGUGGUUGAUCGCGUCGGAAGUGUAAUCUUGGGGCUUAACCCUGAGCGUGCUUUCGAUACGGGUUGACUUGAGGAAAGGUAGGGGAGAAUGGAAUUCCUGGUGGAGCGGUGGAAUGCGCAGAUAUCAGGAGGAACACCAGUGGCGAAGGCGGUUCUCUGGGCCUUUCCUGACGCUGAGGAGCGAAAGCGUGGGGAGCGAACAGGCUUAGAUACCUUGGUAGUCCACGCUGUAAACGGUGGGUACUAGGUGUGGGGUCCAUUCCACGGGUUCCGUGCCGUAGCUAACGCUUUAAGUACCCCGCCUGGGGAGUACGGCCGCAAGGCUAAAACUCAAAGGAAUUGACGGGGCCCCGCACAAGCGGCGGAGCAUGCGGAUUAAUUCGAUGCAACGCGUAGAACCUUACCUGGGUUUGACAUGGAUCGGGAGUGCUCAGAGAUGGGUGUGCCUCUUUUGGGGUCGGUUCACAGGUGGUGCAUGCCUGUCGUCAGCUCGUGUCGUGAGAUGUUGGGUUAAGUCCCGCAACGAGCGCAACCCUUGUUCACUGUUGCCAGCACGUUAUGGUGGGGACUCAGUGGAGACCGCCGGGGUCAACUCGGAGGAAGGUGGGGAUGACGUCAAGUCCUCAUGCCCCUUAUGUCCAGGGCUUCACGCAUGCUACAAUGGCUGGUACAGAGAGUGGCGAGCCUGUGAGGGUGAGCGAAUCUCGGAAAGCCGGUCUCAGUUCGGAUUGGGGUCUGCAACUCGACCUCAUGAAGUCGGAGUCGCUAGUAAUCGCAGAUCAGCAACGCUGCGGUGAAUACGUUCCCGGGGCU
rnacentral:rRNA from 1 species